rnacentral:rRNA from 1 species
UACGUAGGGUGCAAGCGUUGUCCGGAAUUAUUGGGCGUAAAGAGCUCGUAGGCGGUCUGUCGCGUCUGCUGUGAAAACUCAGGGCUUAACCCUGAGCUUGCAGUGGGUACGGGCAGACUAGAGUGCGGUAGGGGAGACUGGAAUUCCAGGUGUAGCGGUGAAAUGCGCAGAUAUCAGGAGGAACACCGGUGGCGAAGGCGGGUCUCUGGGCAACAACUGACGCUGGAGGAGCGAAAGCGUGGGGAGCGAACAGG